rnacentral:rRNA from 1 species
CCUACGGGGUGCAGCAGUGAGGAAUAUUGGUCAAUGGACGAGAGUCUGAACCAGCCAAGUAGCGUGAAGGAUGACUGCCCUAUGGGUUGUCAACUUCUUUUAUAAAGGAAUAAAACGAGGCACGUGUGCCUUUUUCCAUGUACUUUAUGAAUAAGGAUCGGCUAACUCCGUGCCAGCAGCCGCGGUAAUACGGAGGAUCCGAGCGUUAUCCGGAUUUAUUGGGUUUAAAGGGAGCGUAGAUGGGUUGUUAAGUCAGUUGUGAAAGUUUGCGGCUCAACCGUAAAAUUGCAAUUGAUACUGGCAGUCUUGAGUACAGUUGAGGUAGGCGGAAUUCGUGGUGUAGCGGUGAAAUGCUUAGAGAUCACGAAGAACCCCGAUUGCGAAGGCAGCUUACUAAACUGUGACUGACAUUGAUGCUCGAAAGUGUGGGUAUCAAACAGGAUUAGAUACCCGGGUAGUC